rnacentral:ncRNA from 1 species
AAUAAAUCGUGCACAAGCUGCCUGAUUUUGUGGUAACGCAAAAUUAUGACAUGGCUAUAUGCUGGGAAGUUAAUUCUAAUCAGCAGGGAAGUCUGAUGAAAAUCAGAUCCCUCAGAGACCACACGCCAUGCUCCUAGUCACGAAUCUAAAAAUCAAUUGAUUUUUAGAAGAGGAACAAACAAUGGAACGGUGCGACAGUUUUGUGAAAGCAAAACUUGAGCGAAGUGAAAUUGGUUGUGACGAGGAUGAAGAUAUGGUCCUUCGCAAAAGGAAGCG